rnacentral:lncRNA from 1 species
GGGCUCCCAAGGGACAAGAAUAUGAGAGAAGACUGACAGCUUUUACUGAGCACCUACUAUGUGCCACUUUAUUGACACGAUCCCAUUAAGCCUCCAGAAAAAGCUACGUGAUGAGGUUACUUGGAGAACAGAAAAAAGCCGGAGUCUAGAACACGGCCUGCGUUUCACACACGCUGUUGUGCCUCCUCCUUGCCCCUCCUAUUGGCUGAGA